rnacentral:rRNA from 1 species
AGUUUGAUCCUGGCUCAGGAUGAACGCUGGCGGCGUGCCUAAUACAUGCAAGUCGAACGCACAGCGAAAGGUGCUUGCACCUUUCAAGUGAGUGGCGAACGGGUGAGUAACACGUGGACAACCUGCCUCAAGGCUGGGGAUAACAUUUGGAAACAGAUGCUAAUACCGAAUGAAACUUAGUGUCGCAUGAUACGAAGUUAAAAGGCGCUUUGGCGUCACCUAGAGAUGGAUCCGCGGUGCAUUAGUUAGUUGGUGGGGUAAAGGCCUACCAAGACAAUGAUGCAUAGCCGAGUUGAGAGACUGAUCGGCCACAUUGGGACUGAGACACGGCCCAAACUCCUACGGGAGGCUGCAGUAGGGAAUCUUCCACAAUGGGCGAAAGCCUGAUGGAGCAACGCCGCGUGUGUGAUGAAGGCUUUCGGGUCGUAAAGCACUGUUGUAUGGGAAGAACAGCUAGAAUAGGGAAUGAUUUUAGUUUGACGGUACCAUACCAGAAAGGGACGGCUAAAUACGUGCCAGCAGCCGCGGUAAUACGUAUGUCCCGAGCGUUAUCCGGAUUUAUUGGGCGUAAAGCGAGCGCAGACGGUUGAUUAAGUCUGAUGUGAAAGCCCGGAGCUCAACUCCGGAAUGGCAUUGGAAACUGGUUAACUUGAGUGCAGUAGAGGUAAGUGGAACUCCAUGUGUAGCGGUGGAAUGCGUAGAUAUAUGGAAGAACACCAGUGGCGAAGGCGGCUUACUGGACUGUAACUGACGUUGAGGCUCGAAAGUGUGGGUAGCAAACAGGAUUAGAUACCCUGGUAGUCCACACCGUAAACGAUGAACACUAGGUGUUAGGAGGUUUCCGCCUCUUAGUGCCGAAGCUAACGCAUUAAGUGUUCCGCCUGGGGAGUACGACCGCAAGGUUGAAACUCAAAGGAAUUGACGGGGACCCGCACAAGCGGUGGAGCAUGUGGUUUAAUUCGAAGCAACGCGAAGAACCUUACCAGGUCUUGACAUCCUUUGAAGCUUUUAGAGAUAGAAGUGUUCUCUUCGGAGACAAAGUGACAGGUGGUGCAUGGUCGUCGUCAGCUCGUGUCGUGA